rnacentral:tRNA from 1 species
GGAACCGUGCCUGAAUACCCAAGGGCCACUUUGAUAGAGUGGAUUAUGGGGGUUAAAAUCCCCCCGAUUCCU